rnacentral:tRNA from 2 species
GGCACUAUGGCGGAGUGGUUAACGCGGUGCCCUGCUAUUAAUUAAUUCUUCGUAAGAACAUAGUGAGGCAUUUCCUUCGGGAGCGCAGGUUCGAAUCCUGCUGGUGUCG